rnacentral:rRNA from 1 species
GAUGAACGCUGGCGGCGUGCCUAAUACAUGCAAGUCGAGCGAACAGAUGAGGAGCUUGCUCCUCUGACGUUAGCGGCGGACGGGUGAGUAACACGUGGAUAACCUACCUAUAAGACUGGGAUAACUUCGGGAAACCGGAGCUAAUACCGGAUAAUAUAUUGAACCGCAUGGUUCAAUAGUGAAAGACGGUUUUGCUGUCACUUAUAGAUGGAUCCGCGCCGCAUUAGCUAGUUGGUAAGGUAACGGCUUACCAAGGCAACGAUGCGUAGCCGACCUGAGAGGGUGAACGGCCACACUGGAACUGAGACACGGUCCAGACUCCUACGGGAGGCAGCAGUAGGGAAUCUUCCGCAAUGGGCGAAAGCCUGACGGAGCAACGCCGCGUGAGUGAUGAAGGUCUUCGGAUCGUAAAACUCUGUUAUUAGGGAAGAACAAAUGUGUAAGUAACUAUGCACGUCUUGACGGUACCUAAUCAGAAAGCAACGGCUAACUACGUG